UGGAUUUGCUGCGGGUUUGGUAGAUGG
rnacentral:sRNA from 1 species